UGUUUGUUUGUUUGUUUGUUUGUUUGUUUGUUUGUUUGUUUGUGUUUGUUUGUUUGCAGCAGUCCUGUGCUCCUCAGGUUGAUGUGAAUCAUCCAGCUUCAGUCAGAGUGAUUAAUCUCCUCUGACAGGAGGUCAGAGCCUGCAGGACCUCAGAGCCGUGGGCUGAACGCUCACAUUCACCGCUGUAAGUGAACGCAGCGUGGGCGGACCGRCCGACCCGGGUCAGCUCUCUGGAGAGUGGGCCGAGCCCACAGAAACCUUCUGCAGCAGCUGAGCUCGUUAACGAGCAGCUUAACGAGGCUCACCUGUCAGCAGGCCGUCUGCAGGUCCAGACCCAGACCCAGAACCAGAACCAGAACCUGUCAGAGAUGAGGGUCUCGGAUCAUUUGGAUCAAACACUUAAAGGAUUUCCUGUCUUUGAGUCUCAGCUUGACUUCAUUGAACUCUGUGAAAACAACCUGCAGAAACAUGAAGACCAACAAACUGUCAUCUUCCAUCAUCUGCAGCUCCUGAGGUUUGUUUUUACAACACACCAACACAAACUCACUGGUUUUCAGCUCUUUAAACCAGCCGGUGCGUUCAGGGACCCUCCUGUCAGCUGCCAACACAAACCUUCASUGUUUCUUCAGUCAUUAUUAAACGUUUAAAUUGUUUAAAAGUUUUGAUGACUGUAGAAGAAACAUUAUUUCUCCUGGAAACUUUUGAUUAAUUCUGCUUGUAUUAUUUUAUUAACUUUAAAAUUAAAAAUGAUGUGACAUAAACAAAUUAGGAUAAAUUAAGUUUCUGAUCCUGUCAUCCACAAACAACAUUUUUAAAUAUUUUUCAUUUAAAUAUAUUUCUAUACUUAUUUUCCAUGCUGGAAAAGAGAUUGAAUAGAUAAAUUGUUGUAACUUUCUGGGUUUAAGAAUGAAACUACGACUAAACUGACAAAGUUUUACUGUUUUUAGAGCCCUGAGGAGGAUCAGUUUAAAUAUUCUUCUGUUCAGGAAUUCUCUGAGAGCUGCUCCUCUGAAAGGAUUUGAUCUUGGAUCCCGUCCAGAACAGCAUCUAAGACCAAAUCCUUCACUUCCUGUUAACAUAAUGACAGAUCAGUUCAAAUGUUAAAAUACCUGAGUCAUGUUCAAAUGUUAA